UGCAGAUACGGCGCUUCCAUCUCCUGCACAGUUGUAUGAAUGGAUAGAUUGAACAUAUGCUGCCCUUGGUAUUUUUCCUCAAUUCUGAUGUAAUUUGUCCUUGUCUGCAUCAUGUGACCUGAAUUCUGAUCUAGAGUUUUUUUCUCUCGUUGGAACUGCUGGUUGAAAUUAUAGUUCAUGAACUAUAUAAUUACAAUACGCAGAAUCGCUAGAAUUUUUUAAGCAUAUGAUGGUAAAUACCGAUAAUGGCAUUUGUUGCCUGUCGCUGGCCAUAUGUUCGCAGCGCUGGCUUUUUCAUAAACUGCUGCUUGAACUAAACUCCAUAGUCAUAGAUAACUGCAAAUAAGCUAAUAGGCAACAGCAAGGAAUGGGACAGGAUGAAUGACUUAUCCUGUCCAAGUAACCACGAUGUUGAAGCCCUUUAUUUGCAGGCUGAAAAAUCAAACUGAAUCAUUGAAUAAAUAGUUGCUGUAGCUUAUAUAUUUCAGUUUGAUAGCGAUUUAUCUUGCACUAAUGCUCAAUCCAAAAUUUAUCUUACAGAUUCAGCUUUCAGUUAUAUGCACGCUUAGGCAUAUAAUCCUGUUUUCUUCAAGUUUGCAGAUUAUCUGAUGGGCAUUUGCGGCAUUCUUCAUUGGUAGAGGCAGCUUCCUCUCCCUCCCCUGCACCAUGGAUUUCUUCAGAUUAGUGAGCUCUAAUUCACCCCCAAGCACAAGGCCAUUGAGGAAGAACCAAGCACAGAAGCGCUGUCUUCGUUUCAUCCUUGGACCUCUGAUUACUCCGAUCUUUGGUGUUCAACGUUCUGCCAGGUGACGAAAGGAAAAAUAAUUAAAAUCUGGGCACAAGCAGUUUGCACUGUUAAACUCUGCAGCUAAUGGAGGCAUUGCCAGUUCAUCAGGUCAAUCCUAUGAUGUUGUCGAGAUUGUUGGCACCUCGUCCGACUAUGCCUUGUAGGACUAGGAGGAGCAUCAGAUCAACUUCAGUGUUAAAAUAGAGCUGAUGUGGUGCAUGCAGAUCAGUGACAGGAGAUGACAAUUGAUUUACAUGAAUGCUUUGUUGGGAGUAUAUGUAAGGAGGAAAGCAGACCGGCUAACUGAGAACCAUGGAUUCGGCCUUGCUGGAUCAGAGGGCCAAGCUUGUGUUUCUGAACACUGUAUUUGUUGGAGGCACUGCUGUUCAUCAUAUAAAUACUCCUUGGAUGUGAUUAUGCUUUGUGUCAUUGUAAGGGUGGGAUUCUAUGACCGGAACAACUAGAAAACUAGGUGUGAAAUUAUGAGUUUUUGUGAUCAACUUCACACUUUACGUUUUACCUUUCUUUUCUUGUUGUAAAGAUUAAUUAAUUUAUUCCAAAAGAUUGUGCUUCUGCAUACCGGCACAAAACAAUUCUUUCCAGCCA